rnacentral:rRNA from 1 species
AGUUAAUCUUCCCAGGGUUAGUCGGCCCCUAAGCCGAGGGCGAAAGCCGUAGGCGAUGGGAAACGGGUUAAUAUUCCCGUACCAGUAGUAAAUCGUUUGACCGAUGGAGGGACGGAGAAGGGUAGCUAGGCCAGGCGAUGGUUGUCCUGGUUCAAGCGUGUAGGCGGGAAGAGCAGGUAAAUCCACUCUUCCAUUAACGUCGAGACGUGAUGUCGGUGUCCAUUAGGACCGCAAGCUAGUGAUCCCAUGCUUCCAAGAAAAGCUUCGUAGGGAGAUUUGCUGCUGACCGUACCGCAAACCAACACAGGUAGGUGGGCAGAGCAUGCCAAGGCGCUUGAGAGAACUCUGGUUAAGGAAUUAGGCAAAAUGACACCGUAACUUCGGGAGAAGGUGUGCCUUUGAUGGUGAUGGAACUUGCUUCCUGAGCCGUUGGGGGUUGCAGAGACCAGGGGGUAGCGACUGUUUACUAAAAACACAGUACUGUGCGAAGUCCUAUAGACGACGUAUACGGUAUGACGCCUGCCCGGUGCUGGAAGGUUAAGGGGAUCUGUUAGACUUCGGUCGAAGCAGUGAACCGAAGCCCCAGUAAACGGCGGCCGUAACUAUAACGGUCCUAAGGUAGCGAAAUUCCUUGUCGGUUAAAUACCGACCUGCAUGAAUGGCGUAACGAGAUGGGAGCUGUCUCAACCAGGGAUCCAGUGAAAUUGUAGUGGAGGUGAAAAUUCCUCCUACCCGCGGAAAGACGGAAAGACCCCGUGCACCUUUACUACAGCUUGACACUGUAGCUUGGAUAUUCAUGUGCAGGAUAGGUGGGAGGCUUUGAAACUAGGAUGCUAAUUCUAGUGGAGCUAUCCUUGAGAUACCACCCUUGAAUAUUUGAGUUACUAACUGCGUACAAUUAUCUUGUGCCAGGACAAUGUCUGGUGGGUAGUUUGACUGGGGCGGUCGCCUCCUAAAAAGUAACGGAGGCUUACAAAGGUUGGCUCAAUGCGGUUGGAAAUCGGAUGUUGAGUAUAAUGGCAUAAGCCAGCCUGACUGUGAGACAUACAUGUCGAGCAGAGACGAAAGUCGGUCAUAGUGAUCCGGUGGUUCUGUGUGGAAGGGCCAUCGCUCAAAGGAUAAAAGGUACGCCGGGGAUAACAGGCUGAUCUCCCCCAAGAGCUCACAUCGACGGGGAGGUUUGGCACCUCGAUGUCGGCUCAUCGCAUCCUGGGGCUGGAGCAGGUCCCAAGG